UACGAGGGGGGCAAGCGUUGUUCGGAAUUAUUGGGCGUAAAGGGCGCGUAGGCGGUGCGGUAAGUCUGAUGUGAAAUCUCCGGGCUCAACUCGGAGUCUGCAUCAGAAACUGCCGUGCUUGAGUGUGGGAGAGGUGAGUGGAAUUCCCGGUGUAGCGGUGAAAUGCGUAGAUGUCGGGAGGAACACCUGUGGCGAAAGCGGCUCACUGGACCACAACUGACGCUGAGGCGCGAAAGCUAGGGGAGCAAACAGG
rnacentral:rRNA from 1 species